rnacentral:rRNA from 1 species
CNGUAACAAGGUUUCCGUAGGUGAACCUGCGGAAGGAUCAUUG